ACAAGCGGUGGAGUAUGUGGUUUAAUUCGAUGCAACGCGAAGAACCUUACCUGGUCUUGACAUCCCGGAGACCCUUAGGAAACUAGGGGUGCUCCAUCUGGAAGAAUCUGGAGACAGGUGCUGCAUGGCUGUCGUCAGCUCGUGUCGUGAGAUGUUGGGUUAAGUCCCGCAACGAGCGCAACCCUUGCCUUUAGUUGCCAGCAGUUCGGCUGGGCACUCUAAAGGGACUGCCGGUGUUAAACCGGAGGAAGGUGGGGAUGACGUCAAGUCCUCAUGGCCUUUAUGACCAGGGCUACACACGUACUACAAUGGCCGAUACAAAGGGCAGCGACACUGCGAGGUGAAGCCAAUCCCGUAAAAUCGGUCUCAGUCCGGAUUGGAGUCUGCAACUCGACUCCAUGAAGUCGGAAUCGCUAGUAAUCGUGAAUCAGAAUGUCACGGUGAAUACGUUCCCGGGCCUU
rnacentral:rRNA from 1 species